GACGAACGCUGGCGGCGUGCUUAACACAUGCAAGUCGAACGGACAGGCCCUGCUUUUGUGGGGUGCUCGAGUGGCGAACGGGUGAGUAACACGUGAGUAACCUGCCCUUGACUUUGUGAUAACUUCAGGAAACUGGGGCUAAUACCGGAUAGGAGCUCCUGCUGCAUAGUGGUGGUUGGAAAGUUUCGGCGGUUGGGUAUGGACUCGCGGCUUAUCAGCUUGUUGGUGUGGUAGUGGAUUACCAAGCCUGUGACGGGUAGCCGGCCUGAGAGGGUUACCGGCCACAUUGGGACUGAGAUACGGCCCAGACUCCUACGGGAGGCAGCAGUGGGGAACAUGGCACAAUGGGCGGAAGCCUGAUGCAGAAACGCCGCGUGCGGGAUGACGGCCUUCGGGUUGUAAACCGCUUUCGCCUGUGACGAAGCGUGAGUGACGGUAAUGGGUAAAGAAGCACCGGCUAACUACGUG
rnacentral:rRNA from 1 species